CCCUUAGAUGUUCUGGGCCGCACGCGCGCUACACUGAUGCGUUCAACGAGUAUAAAACCUUGAUCGAUAGGUCUGGGUAAUCUUGUGAAUGCGCAUCGUGCUAGGGAUAGACUGUUGCAAUUUUCAGUCUUGAACGAGGAAUUCCUAGUAAACGCAAGUCAUCAGCUUGCAUUGAUUACGUCCCUGCCCUUUGUACACACCGCCCGUCGCACCUACCGAUUGAAUGACUCGGUGAAAAAUUGGGACCGUGAGUCCGCUUGCUUCAUUGCGAGUGGAUUGAUGGGAACUUUUUUAAACCUCGCCAUUUAGAGGAAGGUGAAGUCGCAACAAGGUUUCCGUAGGUGAACCUGCGGAAGGAUCAUUA
rnacentral:rRNA from 1 species